rnacentral:rRNA from 1 species
AGUCGAGUGCGCGUGCCGUAGCAAUACGGUAUGGCGCACGGCGCACGGGUGCGUAACACGUGGGCAAUCUGCCCUCCGGUGGGGAAUAACCCCGCGAAAGCGGGGCUAAUUCCGCAUAACAUUCCCUGGACUCUGGUUCGGGGAUUCAAAGCAGCAAUGCGCCGGAGGAGGAGCCCGCGCCCGAUUAGCUAGUUGGUGAGGUGACGGCUCACCAAGGCAAUGAUCGGUAGCUGGUCUGAGAGGAUGGCCAGCCACACUGGAACUGAGACACGGUCCAGACUCCUACGGGAGGCAGCAGUGGGGAAUCUUGCGCAAUGGGCGAAAGCCUGACGCAGCGACGCCGCGUGGGGGAUGAAGCUUCUCGGAGUGUAAACCCCUUUCGACCGGGACGAAUGCCCGCAAGGGAGUGACGGUACCGGUAGAAGAAGCCCCGGCUAACUACGUGCCAGCAGCCGCGGUAAGACGUAGGGGGCCAGCGUUGUUCGGAAUUACUGGGUGUAAAGGGUUCGUAGGCGGUGUGGCAAGUCGGGAGUGAAAUUUCUGGGCUUAACCCAGAAGCUGCUUCCGAAACUGCUGUGCUAGAGUGCGGGAGAGGCGCGUGGAAUUGCAGGUGUAGCGGUGAAAUGCGUAGAUAUCUGCAGGAACACCCGUGGCGAAAGCGGCGCGCUGGACCGUUACUGACGCUGAGGAACGAAAGCUAGGGGAGCAAACAGGAUUAGAUACCCUGGUAGUCCUAGCCCUA